UACGUAGGGGGCGAGCGUUGUCCGAAUUUACUGGGCGUAAAGAGCGCGUAGGCGGGUUCUUAAGUGAGAGGUGAAAGGUUCAGGGCUCAACCCGAACAGUGCCUUUCAUACUGGGAGCCUUGAGUGUGGGAGAGGCGAGUGGAAUUUCUGGUGUAGCGGUGAAAUGCGUAGAUAUCAGAAGGAACACCCAUGGCGAAGGCAGCUCGCUGGCCUACAACUGACGCUGAGGCGCGAAAGCGUGGGGAGCAAACAGG
rnacentral:rRNA from 2 species